GACGAACCGUGCGAACGUUAUUCGGAAUCACUGGGCUUAAAGCGCGUGUAGGCGGAUGAGCACGUCUGUCGCUGAAAUCCCCCGGCUCAACCGGGGAACGGGCGCGGAUACGGCUUGUCUGGAGGGGCGUAGGGGGACCUGGAACUUCCGGUGGAGCGGUGAAAUGCGUUGAGAUCGGAAGGAACGCCCGUGGCGAAAGCGAGGUCCUGGACGCCUACUGACGCUGAGACGCGAAAGCCAGGGAGCGGAACGGG
rnacentral:rRNA from 1 species